rnacentral:rRNA from 1 species
GUGUCAGCAGCCGCGGUAAGACGUAGGGUCCAAGCGUUGUCCGGAUUUACUGGGCGUAAAGAGCGCGUAGGCGGCUCGUUAAGUGUGAAGUGAAAUCUCCAGGGCUCAACCCGGAAACUGCUUUACAUACUGGCGAGCUGGAGUGAUGAAGAGGUUUGUGGAAUUCCUGGUGUAGCGGUGAAAUGCGUUGAUAUCAGGAGGAACACCCAUGGCGAAGGCAGCAAACUGGUCAUCAACUGACGCUGAGGCGCGAAAGCGUGGGUAGCAAACAGGAUUAGAAACCCCCGUAGUCC